GAACGGGUGAGUAAUGCAUCGGAACGUACCGAGUAAUGGGGGAUAACUAUCCGAAAGGAUAGCUAAUACCGCAUACGCUUUGAGAAGGAAAGUGGGGGCUCUUCGGACCUCACGUUAUUCGAGCGGCCGAUGUCUGAUUAGCUAGUUGGUGGGGUAAAGGCCUACCAAGGCGACGAUCAGUAGCGGGUCUGAGAGGAUGAUCCGCCACACUGGGACUGAGACACGGCCCAGACUCC
rnacentral:rRNA from 1 species